rnacentral:sRNA from 1 species
AUUUAGUUUGCGUUAGGGAUUGAAGCGGCAUCCUUUUUUGUUUUUCUCAAAAAAGAUAUAGCACAAAGCCCGACCCAAA